GGGCCGGGACGGGGGCCGCCCCGCCUCUCCCGCCCCCUCCGGGCGCGCAGCGCGGCGCUGGCCCGGGGCCCAGCGGCGGAGGGCGCGCGCCGCCACCUGCACCGCCCGGCAAGUGCACGGCGCGCCCGGCCGGCCGGCCGGCCACAGCCCUGCGCGCGAGCCGGGGGGCGCCGGGGCGCGGGGGCAGCGCGUGAGGGGGCCGGGCGCGGGCCGCUCGGAGCGCGCGGGGCCUCGGCGACGGCGAGACGCGGCUGGAACGCUCCUCCGCCCGCUUCCUGGAAGCCACUCCUCGCCCUGGGCCGGCCGCCAGGCGUGGUGCCAAGAGCCGGGAUUGCCGACGCCGCCGCCGCCGCCGCCGGCGGCAGGCGCGCUGGGGAGAGGCGGCCGCGGCCUCGCGAGCCAAGUCCGGGGCGCCCCGCCUCGGCCGGAGCCGGGAGGAGGGCCGCCGUCGCCCCCCACCCGCCGCCGCGAGCCUCCCCGGCCCGGGCGGCCCACACGUCCCGACCUCGGGACCGACCCCGUGCCGCGGCCCGGAGCUCGCUCACCCCACCCACGGACGUCCGGCUGCGGGGUCCGCGAGCGCCCGGGUAGGGGCGCCUGCGCGCCAGGGCGUGUCACAGCCUGUGCUUAGCAGUGAGCCUGCGCUCCAGCAUUGCUCUCGGGGGCCAUUUUCAACAGCGAAAUCCCCAACAAAGAAGACAAAAAUGCGGAAGGUGGCACUGAACAGACCAUGAAACAAGAAGGCAGAGCAGGACGCCUCCCGGUCCCAUGGAUCAGGCGAUUCACGGGUUCCACCCCUUUGCCACAUGACCACGAGAGGAGCUGCAAGCACUGAUUUAUGGACCCAAAUAAAUCUCAGCAGAGAUCCCCAAGGAGUGCCUCGGGCUGCCAGAUCCAUGAUUUCAUGACUUCUUAGAACAGCCGGAUCCAUGAUUGCAAGUCAGGAGCUUAGGAAUGAGGACUGCUGCGGUUCUGGAGGUCUGAGCCAGUCAGGAUCUCUCUGUCAGAGGCAUAGGCCAAGUGGGGAACAUGGAGCUAUCAUCAGGAAAUCCACUACUGCGGCCCAGAAUCGGCCACAAACUGGGGAGUUCUAGGCAAAUCGCUUCACCUCUCUGAGCACCAGCUUUGUCCAUUAUAUUGUGGACAACAGGUCCUUCCACUGUCCUCUCCAGGAUUGUCUUCAUACUCUGCUUGUAUAAUAGAGCAACACCUUCCCCAUCUAGAACUCAGCUGUAGCAGUCUCUGUGGGUCUAACCACAGCCAGAAAAGAAAAGGCCUCUGAACAUCCACCUGACGUCAGAUUUAAGCAUAUCGCCUAUGAGCAAACACUUAGGUCUUGCUCGACUAUUGACUCUUUCUCUGCACAUAGUUCUAGUUUUCAAGAGUAACUUAGAGUUGUAAAUUUGAAAGGAAAAGAAAGCCUGCUAAGAAAAGAGAUACGAACAAAGUCACUACAGAAAAACCGUAAAAGGCACAAAAGAAGUGAAAAGGACACCAUAGUCAGGGACCAUGUUGUUCCCCCUCAGAAGGCUCGAGAAAAUCACUAUGUCGUGGCACCGUCCUGUGUCCACGAGUCCAGAUUAUUUAUAAAUGCAUUUGUUCAUUAGCUUCUGUUUACGGACGUACGGAAGUACAUGUAACGUUUUAGAAAGACAUUCACUCACAAAAGGGUUCAACUUAUGAAAAAGAAAACAAAACCAAGCAAUAUAUAUUCCUUUACCUCUUUGCUCUCAGCCUUCUGAAAAAUUCACAUCUCGAACAUCACCUCUGGCAGCUCUUGGAGACCAACGUCGUAUUCCAGCAUUGAUCAAUUUGCCCCAAAAACAACAACAACAACAACAACAACAACAACAACAACAACAACAACAAAAAACAGAGUGCAAAGAACUCUGUACGCACUAUUGUUUAACAUUGUGGUAACAGUUUUCUUCCAAGUCCUCAAGAUCUUUAUUUCCUGGUGCCACAUCCCCUGUCACUUACCUGGCCCACGAGAUGAGACUUGCCUGUUUAGUUGGCUUCCUACGUGCCCCUUGCUCUGCCGGCCUGGCAAUAUUUGGGUUGGAAAUGCCUCCGAGAAAUACUUGAAAGUCUCUUUUCACAUAUAAGUUCAACAACAACAACAAAAAGCAUUGUUUUGCAAAACACACUUAACUUUGGGAUGGUGUUGAUAGCCAAUUAGGCAUUUUUCUCCCUUCUUUACCAAGACUCAGGCCAAAACGUUCUAUGGAUGAGGGUGAGGAACCAGUUUCCUUCAGAUCCCGCCAUCCACUAUGGGUCAGCCUCAAACCUAAGGAAAACUUCAGUGCAAUGCAGUGAAAUGCAGUGUAUAUUAGCCGACGACCUACUUCGUGUCAGGCAUGCGCUAGGUCCUGAGAACACGAUGGCGUGAUAAGACAUUGCCUCUUCCCCGAAGAAGCAAAUGAGAUACGGUGGGAUACGUGUUCCCAGAGGUGUCAGAACAGGGAGCUAUAAAAGAAUUGGGUAGGAUGACAAUUAAUUCAGCCAUGGGGGUGUUAGAGAUUUCUUAGGAGAGGUGAUAUUUCAGCUGAGAACUGAAGUUUAAGUGCAGGCACAGUAUCUUCUGGUUUAAAAUAAAAACAGGGGGGCCUGGGUGGUCCAGUUGGUUAAGCGUCCGACUCUCGAUUUCAGCUCAGGUCAUGAUCUCAGAGUUUAGGAGAUAGAGCCCCAUGUCAGGUUCUGUGCUGGCGGUGCGGAGCCUGCUGGGGAUUCUCUCUCUCACUCUCUCUGUCUUAAAAUAAAUAAACUUUAAAAAAUUAAGAUAAAAUGAAAUAAAAAAAGCUACUCUCCUUCUGUGCUUCUCCUCCAAUGAGAAACAAUCUACUAUUCCAAAUAGACAUUUUUAAACCAUAUAAAUGGCUGGGGUGAGGGGUGUAGAUCUAGGAAAGAAUGACUCAAUGCAUCACAUGCUCUAGGACAAACCCUAUGUGACCACUCCCAUCAUGGUCACACAUGUGAUAUGCCUGCACCUUCAGACUAGGAAUUGUGGGAACAUUGUAGAGUAUCUAGGCACAUUCUAGUGGGGCCCCCAAUGAUCCUUGUUCCUGGUAUGCACACCAUUGUGUAAUCCCCUCCCUGCGAGUGUGGACAGGACCUGUGACUUCUAGCAAUAGAAUAUGACAAAGGACUCUCUUCCUCGGUGCUGCCUGUGGAGGUGACAGCCAUCUCCUGCUAGGCAUCGUGGCCACCCCCAGACCUCCGACGAAGCCCAGGAUCGUUAAAAAGAAGUUCAUCCAGCACCAGCCAGACACCGUAUCAAAAUUAGGCACAACCAGUGGGAACCCCGAGGCAUUGACAACGGGGUGUGCGGAAGGGCCCGGUCUUGCUGCCCGACAGUGGAUACAGAAGCGACAAGGAUACAAAGCACGUGCUGCCCGGUGGCUUCCAGAAGUUCCUGGUCCACAAUAUCAAGGAGUCUGCAGAGCUGCUGAUGUGCAACAAAUCGUACUGCGCCUCAGAGAUUGCUCACGUCCCCUCCAAGAACCACAAAGCCGUUGUGGAAAGAGGAGCCCCGCCGGCCAUCAGAGUCCCCAGUCCCAAUGCCAGGCUGUGCAGCAAAGAAAAUGAACAGGCAGUCUAUGUGCAUGUUGUAUUUGUGUUAAUAGAACCAUAAAAUUAAACAAAAAAGAAUUUCACAAAGUCAUUGGGACAGCACUUCUUUGAGUAAGUGAUGUAAUACUGUCACUUCUCUCUUGCCAGGAGACUCUCCCUUGUCUGAUGUGAUGACGUGAGCCAAUAACAGAGCCACUCGUGUGGCAAGGAGCUAAGGAUCCUUAGCUUAAGGGUCCUUGUUCACCUCUUGUCUCUUUCCCAGUAUGUUCUCAGUGGUAUCAGGUGUGAAAGGGGCUGGAUAACACAUCAGAUCCAGCAUAACUUCUUUACAUCAUAGAGGAAGAUGUGAAAAAUCUGUAUAAAUAAACAUUUCUAUUUGAUUUGAAAAUCAAAUUUAAAAGGACAGAAUUUAUAUCUCACUUCAAGGAUGCCAGCUAAAAGCCAGCUUCUAGAGUACUGUUCCAGCUUUCAUAAUCCUGAGAAAGAGGUUCUAGCCUGGCAUUCCCAUGCAUUCCUCCCCAAAAUAGUUCUGGGCAGGAAUUAUUCAUGAGAAGGUUUGGGUGUGAAGUAAGAAUUCCAGACAAAAAGGAAAACGUGCAAAGACCCAAAGAUGAACGUUCCAAUUCAACAGCCACGUGCUUUGUAAAGGUUUGGCGUGGCGGACGGAAGGCUGCCAGUUGGCCGAAUCCCUUCUCCUACGCCUCCUUCUCGGAGGCUAUGAUUCCCAGCCUUCUUGCAGAGCCACGUGACUCGCUCUGGCCGGUGAAAUGAGACUGGAGUUGCGGUGUAUCUCUUCCUGGUCGAGGCGGUGGAAAGCUGCUGUGGCUUUGUCCACAGGAGAAGUUGGGCAGUGAACAUAGAUGCUGUGUGUUGUUACGGCAGCACCACAAAUGAAAAGAUCCCGGGUGGCUGGUCCACGCAGGACGGCUGGCUUGGAGAGUCAACCGACCUACGCUCGAUCUCACACGGACAAGAAAGCACCUUUUUCUGUUGAACCUCUGACGCCUUUUACUUAUUUGUUACAUCAGCAUUCACCAGCCUAUGCAGACUAAUACAUGUGGGGCCCAGAGUGAAAAUCGGGGAUUGGCCCAAGUUAAAUAGACAGACGAGUAGGCAGGGGGCGAGUUUGUGAAGGGCACAUAGGCCAUGCUGUGGGGUUUUGGAACUUACCCUAAGCACAGGGGCUUGUUUAGUAUAACAUCUGGCACAGAAAUGGCACGAGAAGAUCGGAUCUUAGUAGUGAUGGCUCUGGCUGUUAUGUUCAAUGAUCCAAGCAAGAGCUCACGUAGGCAUAACCUGGCCCAAGUGGUCGUGGAGACAGAAGGAAACAGGUGUAUUUGAGAGCUGUUAGAGCUGAUAAGGCUUGGUGAAUGACUUCAAAGGUAGGGUACCACGAAGGGACGAGUCAAGGCGAGCGCCCCGGUUUUUGACACUGGCCUUGGGUAGUGGCAGUUGUCAUUCACUAACACAGAGAACAUAAGAGACGGAGCAUAUUGGGUGGGAAGAGGCAGCACAGAGACAAUGGCUUCACUUGGAAGAGUUUGAGCCGGAAAUGCCUGUGGUCUAGAAUGAGGACAACCUGGGCCGGAGACUCAGGCUUGACACUUGUCAGCAUAUGGUUAACCCUUGAAGCCAUGGGAGUUGAUAGUGUGCGUGAAAACAGCUAUCUGCCCAUCCACCAUCUGUCCAUAUGUCUGUUUAUGGGGAAAGGAGUUUUUAAAUAUUCUCUAAUGUGCAUAUAAUAUGUUAUAAUUCCCCUAAACAGUGAAAAUAUCAAAUUUUGUGUCUUUUUCACACACACACACACACACACACACACACACACACACACACACACACACCAAAACCAAGAAGCAAUUAUCUUGAGCCACUUUUGACUUCUGCCUUUAUCUUCAUCAUUCGCUCAUAUGGUUCAGAGGCUCAGGCCUGAAGGAUGUUCUCUCAACUCCGUUCUCUUGCUUUUCCAUUGAAAACAUCAGCCUGAAAGACACCCAGAAGCCCCCGAAUCCACCAAGGCAAGUAUGACAUUCAACCCUAACCUGGGUCCCUGGUUUACCAUCAAAGCAAGAGUGGGACUUACUCAGCAUUCCCCAUGAAAUUGCUAGAUUCUAUUUCAUUAAAUAUGUGCUGGAACAGUGUAUUUUUAUUGUUGUUUUUGAAAACCAAGAAAGAAACCAAAAGACUGCAUGAAACAAAUAUUCCUAAAUUCAUGUGUGUAGCCGGGAAAAUUGAGAACACAAUGUCCCGUGUUCUGCAAAGUAUAAAUAAAGAAAAUGGAAAUGAAAAUUUAAAAUAAAAAACUGAUAUUGACAUGAAAUUUCAGGUCAGGCAGAGACUUCUGAUCCAAGAAGAUGAUUUGAGCUCAAAUUUUUUCCUCAAACCAUGCCUUCCCCCACUGAAGCCACUAAAUGGAUAGGAUAAAAAAAUUCUACAUUAGUGCUGGAAACCGGGGAAGGAAAUCAUCCCCACCGCUGAGGCGCAGAGGGUUGAUGAGACACAGGAGUAGCCGUAACUCUGCCAACGAUGGCCCUCGUGAUGCGGGAAGAGAGCCGUGCGCCAUGAAUGUCUUCCCUUGACUCUGCCAGGAAGGUAAGGAGACUGUUCUUGACAAGUACAGAAGAAAAAAAGCAAAUGAUACAGGUCGGCAAUAUUGCUUUCCCCGCUCUGCCUUCAAGGAUGGGGUGAUUCUUUCCCUGCUCGGUUAGCUGUGAGACUGCUCUUGGGCUUGGAAAAAAGCCGAAGGAUUUCUACUAAUAAAUUAUGUGGACCGACCCAGAGAAGAAAGGAUCCAGGAGGAGAGACAAGGAGAGCAGUGGGCAGAGGUUGAGAGAUCAGGAGAAAAUGAGAGGAAAGGUUGAUGUGGCGACUGGGUCUUUGGGAGAGACAGAACAGCUUUAAGAACGCUAGAUGCACAUCGUGUAACAUGCUUCUGGACGUGAAAUCCUGCUGAUAGGGAGCCUUAGGCACAAGCACAUGAUCCGGUUUUCUUUGCAACGGGUCGAUUGGAAGCGGAUUGGUGUCAACCCAGCACCAGGAGGCAGGCUAGCGAUGCUCUCUGCUGGCCUUCUCUGUGGGUGUCUUGUGGGAGAUUCAGCAUCAACUGAUUCUUCACCACGUCUGGCCUGCGACAUGACAAGGGCAGUCUGUGUGUGUGUGUGUGUGUGUGUGUGUGUGUGAUGGGGGGCUCUCCCCUGUGUGGUACCUUCCUAGCUGCUUCCUGCCAGCCUCCUCCUCUGCCUUCCUCUUGGCUAUGUAAACCAGAGACCAUGGUUUUAAAGAAAUAUUUGGUUCAAGGUGACCAAGAUGGGUCAUCUUCCCAGCGCCAACCCCCUCCAUCUUUGACCCCUCACGAGUCACUGGGCCUCGGAGAAGGGUCAUUUCCUAAGUCGGAGAGACUCCAGGAGAUCCAGGAGGCGGAGUCCGUGAUGGCCAAGAGCAAGGCAGCCUCGCAUCCUCAUAUAAUUUCAUCUCUCACGGCUCCUGUGGCUUCGUGCCGACAAUUAUAAGCGCAUCCAUAUAGACUGAAUGAAUACGUGUAGACCGAAGUAGGACAGGACGGUAGGAUAAUAAGCAUCAGCCAGCCUAAAGCCAGAAAUAAGAGCUAUGGCAAGGGCGCGCGUUCAAAGGAACCGGGGAGCAGCCCCCGUCUCUUGGCCCAAAGCUUGAGCAAUUAAGAGGAACGCACCAGAAGACCACAGCGUCUCCGUGGUGACUGGGCAUCUGUCCACUCUGCUGAUGCGCUGCUCCCAAGAAGAGGAAGGGAGGGGCUUAGCAACCCCUGCCCAGGCCCUCGGUCCCCUUUUCCAAAGUCACCGGCUGAUUCCGUCGCCCUCUGGGCCCAGGACUUAGGAACUAGAGGGUGCAGGCAGGGCAGCGUAGCAAAGUAGCAAAGCCGCCUGUAUGUGGCACAGAUGCCGAAGUAGAGAAGAAGGAUCCGCCACCAGCCCCAACCCCAGCACUCCCGGGGGGUUUCUCCUUUCCGUCUCUCGGGCUUAGUCAGAGAAAGCCCCUUCCUGUCUUCAGGAGGCCAUUGCUGCAGUGUCGUCACGGGCAGCGCACAGUUUCUUCUGGAAGACUCUCGGGAAUUUGAAUGAUACUACACCUGAAUGAACUCCAAGGCCUCUACAUUAGCCUCCCCGGAGCGGCCAUACCCAAUGACCGCAAGUGAGUGGCUCAAAACAACACAAAGGUGGCCUCUCACUGUCCCGGAGGGCAUGCGUCGGAAACCAAGGUGUUGGCAAUUCUGCGCUACGUCCGAUGGCCCUAGGGGAGAAUCCUUCCUCGCCUCUUCCAGUUUCUGGUGGCGUCGGGUCUUCCUCGGCUUGCCGUUGUGCCCCCCACAUCUCUGCCUCUGUCUCCACGUGAUCUUCACGUGACCUUCUCCCUGCAUCUGUCUCCUAGGGACACCAAUCAUUAGACUUAGGGCCCGCCCCAAACCCUGGACUUUAAAAGACCCUUUCUUGCACGUAAAAGACCCUAUUUCCAAGUUAAAGUCACAUUCUCAGGCUCCGGGCGGUUAGGACUAGGACAUACCUUUUGGUGACCAUUAUUCUGCCCACUGUCACCACCAAGGCUUAAUCUCUAUAUUCUGUAUUCUCUGUCCCACCUGAAAUUGCGUCUGAACACGUUGCCUGACAUGGUGUGAGGGACACGGGCUGAUGUGGGAAACACUGCGUGUGGCCAUGGCUGGGCACCGGCUUUGGCCUCACCUAAGGUUGGGUGUACUUCUGACCUCUCAAAACCCCCUGUAUUACAUUGUUGGCCUAACCAAACAUAUCAGAGAGAGGAGAAGCCUGGGUUAUUUGCCUCUUGUCAUUCCUCAUACUACAGGAAAAGUCCUUUCUGCUAUCGAUGGGCGGGCACCUAGGGGUCAGUACUUGAGUUAAGGCACAGAACACCUGUAUCUGCCCAUGCUACAGAUAGGGGAGUGUUACAAGGGCAGGUCAGCGGCAACCACUUUGUCUGAUGAACUCUUUUCCUUAGAUCCUCCCUAGAUUGAUUUCCUUGAGACAACCACAGAAUCCCAGAAGCAAGAGAGUAUCGUGGGUCCAUCACGUGAGUGCUUGUGCUGCAGGCCGUAACUCACCUGGUUAGCAGUGCUAGACUGUGAGGGAUCUGUGCUAGACUGAAAGGGAUCUAGAGCACAGAUAUACGGAGUGAAAUUCAAAAUUUAACAGGAAUGUUGGGUUUUCAGGAAAUGUGGCUGGUAAAACACAGAAGGGACAAGGUCAGGAGUAGCUGCCCAGCUCAGACCCUACAAAUCAGCCCAGGAGAGGCAGAGCUGGCUGCCUGCGCGUCUGCAUUUUGAGAGGGAGGAGGGGUAUUGGCCAUGGUUGUCAUCGUUGAUGCUGACCAUGUAUUCAGGGGAGCAACACAGCUUCCGUGAGGGCGACUUGGUAACAUUUUCGGAUCCGCCAGCAGUCACCAGCAGCUCAUGUGUUCAGCAUCAGGACCCAGGCACAAUGUAUUCAUUUCCUCAUGGGAAUUUGCUAAUCAAAGACUUUUUUUAAAGUUUAUUUAUUUUCGGGGCGCCUGGGUGGCGCAGUCGGUUAAGCGUCCGACUUCAGCCAGGUCACGAUC